rnacentral:rRNA from 1 species
GACGAACGCUGGCGGCGUGCCUAAUACAUGCAAGUUGAGCGAUGAAGAUUGGUGCUUGCAGCAAUUUGAAGAGCAGCGAACGGGUGAGUAACGCGUGGGGAAUCUGCCUUUGAGCGGGGGACAACAUUUGGAAACGAAUGCUAAUACCGCAUAACAACUUUAAACAUAAGUUUUAAGUUUGAAAGAUGCAAUUGCAUCACUCAAAGAUGAUCCCGCGUUGUAUUAGCUAGUUGGUGAGGUAAAGGCUCACCAAGGCGAUGAUACAUAGCCGACCUGAGAGGGUGAUCGGCCACAUUGGGACUGAGACACGGCCCAAACUCCUACGGGAGGCAGCAGUAGGGAAUCUUCGGCAAUGGACGAAAGUCUGACCGAGCAACGCCGCGUGAGUGAAGAAGGUUUUCGGACCGUAAAACUCUGUUGGUAGAGAAGAACGUUGGUGAGAGUGGAAAGCUCAUCAAGUGACGGUAACUACCCAGAAAGGGACGGCUAACUACGUG